GAAUUGUUUUAUUUUGUUUAAAUAGGUGAGAGGAAAGGGAAUGGUAAUUGUAAAAAGACAAGUAAAUCCUUAUCAUUUAACUUAGUUUUGGAUUUUCUAUAAAAAUAUAAGGAUGAAAAGGAAAAAAGAGAAAGUAGGUUAUUGCUCUCUCAUUUGGUGAACUUUUUAUGUCCCAAAGUGGGGUGUAAUGGAUUUUCCCUUAUAUUCCUCUUUCACUUCUUAAAAUUAUGAAAGCCAAACAAAAGAGGAAGUGAAUUCCCCUCUAUUUAUUUUUUUAACCUUCCUCAUCAUCAAACUUCCUGGCAUGGAUAGCAUAACUGUGUAAGAGAAAGUAUAACUGUACAAGGAUAAAUACUUUAAAAGGUUGAUUUUGAA
rnacentral:misc_RNA from 1 species